UCCUGGUGGCGAGUGGCGAACGGGUGAGUAAUAUAUCGGAACGUGCCCAGUCGUGGGGGAUAACGCAGCGAAAGCUGUGCUAAUACCGCAUACGAUCUAUGGAUGAAAGCGGGGGAUCGCAAGACCUCGCGCGAUUGGAGCGGCCGAUAUCAGAUUAGCUAGUUGGUGGGGUAAAAGCCCACCAAGGCGACGAUCUGUAGCUGGUCUGAGAGGACGACCAGCCACACUGGAACUGAGACACGGUCCAGACUCCUACGGGAGGCAGCAGUGGGGAAUUUUGGACAAUGGGCGCAAGCCUGAUCCAGCAAUGCCGCGUGCAGGAUGAAGGCCUUCGGGUUGUAAACUGCUUUUGUACGGAACGAAAAAGUCUUCUCUAAUAAAGAGGGCUCAUGACGGUACCGUAAGAAUAAGCACCGGCUAACUACGUGCCAGCAGCCGCGGUAAUACGUAGGGUGCAAGCGUUAAUCGGAAUUACUGGGCGUAAAGCGUGCGCAGGCGGUGAUGUAAGACAGAUGUGAAAUCCCCGGGCUCAACCUGGGACCUGCAUUUGUGACUGCAUCGCUAGAGUACGGUAGAGGGGGAUGGAAUUCCGCGUGUAGCAGUGAAAUGCGUAGAUAUGCGGAGGAACACCGAUGGCGAAGGCAAUCCCCUGGACCUGUACUGACGCUCAUGCAC
rnacentral:rRNA from 1 species